rnacentral:lncRNA from 1 species
AGGAGGAGGAUUUCCCCAGGGAGGAACCCUUUUCUCCACUGCAUCCCCAUGCUCAGUCCUUCUCCUCAACCCAGCAAGCAGAGUCUAAGUGAUUGGGAUUUUCUUCUUGCAGCCAGAUCUUCUGGAGUCCAUUGGAUUGCAGCUUGGCUAGUGGUCACGUUAUCCAUCAUUCCCAGCAUCCUGCUAGCCUGACAAGAUCUCUCCUCAGUCAAGAAGGAAACAUCAAAGCCGUAUCUUGCCUUCAUCCCCUGCACUGCUCCUAACCAUUGACGCUGCUCUGGCUCCGUGGAGCAAAGGAAAGUGUGUUAUUGUUAUCUGUGCUGGUUUGAAUGCAUGCUCUAUGGAGUAAGCACAGGACCUAGUACAGUGCUACAUCACUGAUCUUUACAAAGAUUCUAAGCUAAUUUUUUAAAAACUGGGGGUAGCAUCUAAUUUUAUAUACCCUAGUUGUUUCCUAACAUUCAUUGAAGAUAAAUGCAUUCCUUUUACCAAAAUAUGUGGCUAUCUUAUACUAAUGUUGUUUAUAUCACUCUUUUUUUAUAAAGAUAAAUGCAUUCCUUUACCAAAAUAUGUGACUAUAUCAUGCUAAUGUUGUUUAUAUCACUCCUUUUUGUGAAGAUAAAUGCAUUCCUUUUACCAAAAUAUGUGACUAUGUCAUGCUAAUGUUGUUUAUAUCACUCUUUUUUAUAAAGAUAAAUGCAUUCCUUUUACCAAAAACAUGUGGCUAUAUUAUACUAAUGUUGUUUAUAUCACUCUUUUUUAUAAAGAUAAAUGCAUUCCUUCUACCAAAAUAUGUGACUAUAUCAUGCUAAUGUUGUUUAUAUCACCUUUUUAAAAAUAAAAUCUUUUCACAUACU